GUCUGUACGGGAACUUGAACCGGCGACCCUACGGCUCACAGUCCAAGUCCCUACUGACUGUGCCACUGCCGGAUGAAAGAGAAAAUUGAGCAAUUGAACAGCAUGUAUAAGCAUAGAUACAACUGGGUGGGAUUUACAAAACUAAAGUUUAAGUAUACAUUUGACAGGAGGGGGUGACUCGAUCACAGUUAUUUUGUGAAUUUACAGCACCUUCUCUCAGAAACCUGUUGGGGAUCCGAAGGUUGGGGCAAGAAGGGGAGAAGAUGCGCCGAGCCUGAAGCCACCGUGCCCGCUUCUUGGAGCCUGCCAAUCACAAUAAAAAAGUGAAAAGAAAGAGUGGAAGGUUUGUUUACAGACCUGAGUCGCGGAUGGAGGGCCUCCACGACAGUUUCUCAAACUUAUUGAACUGACUCCCGUCCUGCUCGGCCGAAGACAUCUCGACAGGGAGCCACACACACACCAGCUUCACACCUGAACCGCCACCCGCUUCAGUGUGACUACACGGAGUGGCAUGGAGCUGCAAUCACAGCAUAAUAAAUAAAUCUUACUAACGAGCGUCCACACCUGCUGCUGCUGCUGCUGCCCACCACCGGCAGCUGGUCUGCGCUGACCAAUCAGAGGACGGGGAGCCUACAUGUCGUGUUCAAGAGCCACAUGGUCGUGUUUAUAUGUUUGCAGCGAUCCUAAAUGUUUACAUACAGUAUGUAGAAUAUGUUUAAAGAACAGCUUAAAUAUAGAAGCAGGUUUAGCAUUCUAUGUGUGUUUGGAUUAUCAUUUACUUACCCCAAAUGAGUGCCACAUGUAAAACAACUAAGAUAUCAUUGCUAGAAGUGCUAUGUUACUCAAGUAAGUACAAUUUACUUUUUAAUAAAAAAUAAUGAACAUUC